rnacentral:rRNA from 1 species
CAGUAGCCGCGGGAACACGUAGGGGGCGAGCGUUGUCCGAAGUUACUGGGCGUAAAGCGCGCGUAGGCGGUUUGACAAGUCUUAUGUGAAAUCUUCGGGCUCAACCCGAAGUCUGCAUGAGAAACUGUUGAGCUUGAGUAUGGGAGAGGUGAGUGGAAUUUCCGGUGUAGCGGUGAAAUGCGUAGAUAUCGGAAGGAACACCUGUGGCGAAAGCGGCUCACUGGACCAUAACUGACGCUGAGGCACGAAAGCUAGGGGAGCAAACAGGAUUAGAGACCCCCGUAGUCCCUGUCUCUUAUAC